rnacentral:rRNA from 1 species
AGCGGCGAGCGAAACGGGAAGAGCCCAAACCAACAAGCUUGCUUGUUGGGGUUGUAGGACACUCUAUACGGAGUUACAAAGGACGACAUUAGACGAAUCAUCUGGAAAGAUGAAUCAAAGAAGGUAAUAAUCCUGUAGUCGAAAAUGUUGUCUCUCUUGAGUGGAUCCUGAGUACGACGGAGCACGUGAAAUUCCGUCGGAAUCUGGGAGGACCAUCUCCUAAGGCUAAAUACUCUCUAGUGACCGAUAGUGAAC